rnacentral:lncRNA from 1 species
GAGCCAUAUGUCAUCUGUGCUGACACAGUUCUCUUGCAUUAGCAAUUCUCAUAACUUGCUCUGUCGACACCUUCACAGGGAAACCAAUCCAAUCGACAGUAGAAGUGAUGACACAGAGAUGACCAGGCAUCCUUUAGUCACUGAGCCAGAAAGCCUCAAGACAUAUUCCAUGUUGUUGAACAGCUUCUGAGCACAGUCCCUGAAGUUAGAACAAAUGUCUUGACAUAGAGAUGAAGGGAGACCUGGAAGGGUAAGUUAAAUUACAUGGGGCUCUACUCAAUGUUCCUUCGAGAUCACAUCCUCUCUUUUGCAGUUUCUAAUAUGUAUUUGUUCCUACUUGCGUCAUGGAAAAUGACAAAAGUCAAGCUUCAAUGUAGAUGAGAUUUAAAUAAUCUUUUAAAAAAAAGUCAUAGAAGACUGUAACUUCCGGGCUGCUCUGAGAACUGAGGAGAGCAGAAUAUUUGACAGAAUAAUGAAAUACGAAUCCACCUUCAACAUUGUAGGGCAAAUCCUGAAUGCCUUUGUGCUACUGUGAUGUUGUUGGUGACAAGCAAAGUUUCUGAGAAACUUGAGCAAAACCAGAGUUCUGACAAAUGUCCUCAGGAACUAGGACGCCCAAGUCUUGGCUAUUCUUGUUUACAUUUUCAAACUUUGAGAAUAUUUGAAAGGCUUAUAAUUAUAAGUGCAAUGAAAAUGGAAAGAGGUUAAACAAAGUGAGUAAUAUGAGAAUUUGGAAAAGUAGAACUCCCUUGCCAGGAACACAUUAGGCCAAAUCAUUUGGUGAGUUGCCAUACUCUAAUAACAGGUAUAUCAGACAUUUGGGGACCUGGAUCAAGUCUCUCAGACUAUUAGGGCUCUAGUCAGGGAAUUUUUGCUUCAAGAGAUUUAAUACCUAGAGAGAAAAUACUUUUCUGAAAAUGCUUAAUGCACAUAUUCAGAGAACUGGUCAACCCAGAACUAAAUGCUGAGCCAAACCAACUGCAUUUCUUCUUAGGAUACUUUGAGAAAAAUCCUCUGGGAAGAAGAUGACUCAGAGAUGACUGCUAAAGGGAAACUUUGGCCCAUGUGUUGCUCGGAGCUGUUGUUCUCUACCAUGGUCUAGGAUGAUCUAAGCAAGAAGUAAUCUGAAGCCAUAAGGGAAAAUUCCCUUUGUGAAACUCAGUACGAGAGCCCCAGAACUACAGUCAAUGGAACCCAAGAUCAGAGCUUUGUAGACGUAAAAAGGAACCUAAGAUCUGUACCAAUAGUGAGAAUGUAGAAAAUUAAGUGGCCAUUCAAUUAACUGUAAGUCCAUUACUAUGAUGCUUCGGGAGAAAGUAGUAGUCUCCUAGCGAUAUCUGGCCAAUAUAUUUUUAUGAUCAGAUCACUUAUGCAGGUGGUGUAUAUUUUGCAAUCUGUUGGGGACCAAUUCAAAUAGUAAUUUUACUCUUAUUAGGAACACUGGGUUUAGAAACACUUCUGAAGAGUACUACUUUAGUCUAGUGUUGACCAAACUGGGUUCUAUGGAAGUCUACUUUUUCAAGGUGUUAACAGUUACAUCAUAAAAAGAAGUGCUUCAGGCUCAACUAAAUUAGAGAAAUCUCAGGGUAAAUAAUAUUAAGCUGAAUUCUUGUUUACAGGACUUUUCAGCAGAUUUAUUAGGCUCAUAUGGAUUUUGAAUCUCCAAGAGGUGGUUACAGAAUGCAGCAUUUUCCCAACUUAUUUGUCUAUGGGACUCUUUUUUGGAAGAAUGCUUAUUAAUAUUUUAAACACCUGUUGUUCCACGGAUCAGAGUAUGGAAAUGCAAUCUUUCUCUUCCAAUGGAAUAAUAACUAAAUCUUUUAACUAAAUCUUUUCAUGGAUGGGUUAACUUUAAUCCACUUUCAUUUGACUAAGAUGUUUCUGGUGAAUUUUUAUUUUCACAGAAAAUAGCAGUUAGAAUCACAAAGCCCUUUUAUUAAUUGCUGUCUCUCUUAUUUUUGUUGUUGUUUAUCUUGGACAAUUAGUGAAGUCCUCCACAAAAUGUUACAAAAUAAAGUAUUUUCUAUUAACUUUUGCA